rnacentral:tRNA from 1 species
GGCGGUAUAGCUCAGUUGGCUAGAGCACGCGGUUCAUACCCGCGGUGUCGAUGGUUCAAGUCCGUCUUCCGCCACCA